CCUACGGGGGGCAGCAGUGAGGAAUAUUGGUCAAUGGACGAGAGUCUGAACCAGCCAAGUAGCGUGAAGGAUGACUGCCCUAUGGGUUGUAAACUUCUUUUAUAUGGGAAUAAAAUGUGCCACGUGUGGGAUUUUGUAUGUACCUUAUGAAUAAGGAUCGGCUAACUCCGUGCCAGCAGCCGCGGUAAUACGGAGGAUCCGAGCGUUAUCCGGAUUUAUUGGGUUUAAAGGGAGCGUAGGUGGGUUGUUAAGUCAGUUGUGAAAGUUUGCGGCUCAACCGUAAAAUUGCAGUUGAAACUGGCAGUCUUGAGUACAGUAGAGGUCGGCGGAAUUCGUGGUGUAGCGGUGAAAUGCUUAGAUAUCACGAAGAACUCCGAUUGCGAAGGCAGUUCACUGGACUGCAACUGACACUGAGGCUCGAAAGUGUGGGUAUCAAACAGGAUUAGAUACCCUGGUAGUC
rnacentral:rRNA from 1 species